AUAGUAAUGCUGUUCAGCACACAAGUGACCACAGCUUCAGACAGGCAGUGUCUGUGCCUGGCUGAGGAGCCAGUGGUGUGGAACUGUCAUCUGUGGGGUCAUGGCUGGACACCCCUAAAUUAGCAUCCCCUCUAAAAC
rnacentral:ncRNA from 1 species